rnacentral:lncRNA from 1 species
CUGGGUGGUUCCUGUAGGAUCUCAGCUCAUCCCCAUGCUAAACCGGAGAAAAAUCCCAUCGGUCCAGGAGGGACUCAUACAGACCCAUUCCAUGAGUUUUUGGGUGCUGGAGCAGGCCGUGGGACACAAUCGCUCCUGGCCCAGCAGCCUUGCUCCCUAAUCCUGGCCCCAUCCCCGCUCCCACUUUUCUUUCAGUGCAUGAAGACACGAUUUAUGAUGUCCAUUCCUGGAGAGCGGCAGAUUUUCAAAAGCAAAUGAUAGUGAUUGCAGACUUGAUCCAAUGAAGAUGUAGGAAUGAUUAUUCUCAUUAACGGGGCUGUCAAAACAAUGCUUUGCCCAUUUAUGUGCACUGCUGCUAAACAGUUCUUGGUAAGUUUGUCCUCUGCAUUUCUGUGUUUCUUCAAAUGUUGAAUCACACUUGCCCUGACAUGUGCAGCUCUGAUGAACUUUGGAGGUUUUGGUACAGCCUCUUCUUGCCCCAGGUUGGGCUGAAGCAGGGUUCUGGGCCUUGAGAAGUCUUAAAAACAAAAUAAGACA